rnacentral:misc_RNA from 1 species
AAAUACAGAGCAAUGGAGACCAAAGCAGAGCUUGUUUUCAUUCCAUCGCCGGGAUUGGGUCACGUCGCUUCCGCUGUCGAAUUCGCCAAACUCCUCCUUGCUACAAAUGAACGACUAUGCAUUUCUCUUCUCGUCAUGAAACAUCCUGCUGAUUUUGGUGUUCAAUCUUAUCUCCAAUCACUCCCUUCUCUGUCCCGUUUUCGCUUCGUUGAUGUUUCAAUUGACCCGAAAUUAGUUGUUCCACUUUUGUCUAACAAGGACAG